GAUGAACGCUGGCGGCGUGCCUAAUACAUGCAAGUCGAGCGAAUUGACAGAGGUGCUUGCACCUCUCGAUUUUAGCGGCGGACGGGUGAGUAACACGUGGGUAACCUACCUAUAAGACUGGGAUAACUUCGGGAAACCGGAGCUAAUACCGGAUAAUAUUUAGCUUCGCAUGAAGCAAUAGUGAAAGACGGUUCUGCUGUCACUUAUUGAUGGACCUGCGGUGUAUUAGCUAGUUGGUGAGGUAACGGCUCACCAAGGCAACGAUACAUAGCCGACCUGAGAGGGUGAUCGGCCACACUGGGACUGAGACACGGCCCAGACUCCUACGGGAGUCAGCAGUAGGGAAUCUUCCGCAAUGGACGAAAGUCUGACGGAGCAACGCCGCGUGAGUGAAGAAGGUUUUCGGAUCGUAAAACUCUGUUGUAAGGGAAGAACAAGUACGUUAGUAACUGAACGUACCUUGACGGUACCUUACCAGAAAGCCACGGCUAACUACGUGCCAGCCGCCGCCGUAAAAC
rnacentral:rRNA from 1 species